rnacentral:rRNA from 1 species
AACGUAGGAGACAAACGUUAUCCGGAGUUACUGGGCGUAAAGGGUGCGUAGGCGGCCGCGCAAGUCUGGCGUGAAAGCCCCGGGCUCAGCCCGGGAAGGGCGCUCGAAACGGCGCGGCUCGAGUGCCGGAGGGGAGAGUGGAAUUCCUGGUGUAGCGGUGAAAUGCGUAGAUAUCAGGAGGAAUACCGGUGGCGAAAGCGACUCUCUGGACGGCAACUGACGCUGAGGCACGAAAGCGUGGGGAGCAAACAGG